rnacentral:rRNA from 1 species
AUGGUGAACGAUGGGAUGCAAGAAUUCUUCGUGGAAUUCCGAGGGCCUACUGAAAAUGAAUUGCUCGCUUGUUCAUUUGCCCUGGAGCAUCUUCGCGAUUUGGUGAAUUUAAGUACAGUAUAUCUUUUCUGUUGUAUGGGAAGAGCGGCUAUAUUUCUAAUCAAUUGUGGAUGUGUUCUAAAUUUAAUAGGUAUUUAUCAAGGUGGUGUCUGGAAGGUUAGAGUAGAACUGCCUGAUGCAUAUCCUUACAAAUCUCCGUCAAUUGGGUUCAUUAAUAAGAUUUAUCACCCAAAUGUGGAUGAAAUGUCUGGUUCCGUAUGUUUAGAUGUUAUCAACCAGACAUGGAGCCCAAUGUUUGAUCUAGUAAAUGUGUUCGAAGUCUUCCUUCCACAACUUCUGUUGUACCCAAAUCCGUCUGAUCCAUUAAAUGGAGAGGCUGCUGCACUUAUGAUGCGAGAUCGCCCUGCUUAUGAACAAAAAGUGAAAGGUGAUUUGGUUCAACAUUAUCCACUAUUUGUUCUUGAUAUCAACUCUAGAGUCUCGUUAUUUAAUUCUUGCUCACAGCAUUUCGCUACUGAUCUAUGCCUUUCGUAUGCAUGCAACCUUGCAAGAUUGCAGACACAUUUUAGUUAUUUUGUUGUCUUUGUUGAUAUGGCAUGCAAUCUAAGGCAGCCAACUAUGAGUAUAUUGAUCGUACAGUCUUCCUUGGUACGCUUGUUCUGUUAUGUUGUGUAA